AGUGAACGCUGGCGGUAGGCCUAACACAUGCAAGUCGAACGGCAGCACAGGAGAGCUUGCUCUCUGGGUGGCGAGUGGCGGACGGGUGAGGAAUGCAUCGGAAUCUACUCUUUCGUGGGGGAUAACGUAGGGAAACUUACGCUAAUACCGCAUACGACCUACGGGUGAAAGCCGGGGACCUUCGGGCCUGGCGCGAAAGAAUGAGCCGAUGCCCGAUUAGCUAGUUGGUGGGGUAACGGCUCACCAAGGCGACGAUCGGUAGCUGGUCUGAGAGGAUGAUCAGCCACACUGGAACUGAGACACGGUCCAGACUCCUACGGGAGGCAGCAGUGGGGAAUAUUGGACAAUGGGCGCAAGCCUGAUCCAGCCAUACCGCGUGGGUGAAGAAGGCCUUCGGGUUGUAAAGCCCUUUUGUUGGGAAAGAAAAGCAGUCGGUUAAUACCCGAUUGUUCUGACGGUACCCAAAGAAUAAGC
rnacentral:rRNA from 1 species